GCCAGUGGUGCUUGGAGUCACUGGGGGUUCACUCAGUAAAACAGUCAACCAAAACUUCCAAACUGCAACAAUGCAGAUGGUGUGAUCAUGUCAGGCGUUGUUUUGAUACGCUAGACCUUUACCAGGUCUUUCUCCCCACACUGUUGUGAAUUUGAAGAUAUUUCAUAGCCCUUUGUGAGCAAGAGCGCUCGUAUUAUCCAUUGUGCCCCUCCCUAGUCUCUAGGGCAAAGGAAGAGGCGAAGCAAGAGGAGAGAUAUGGGCCACAUCCAAACUAUUGUUUGUCUACACUUUGUAUUUUAUUGAGGUGGACAAAGCCUCCUCUGGCAGAUAGGACUUAUUCUCCCCAGGUAGAGACAGGGGUCUGUAUCUCUAGUAGAUAUAGGACAUAUUCUCCCCAGGUAGAGACAGGGGUCUGUACCUCUAGUAGAUAUAGGACAUAUUCUCCCCAGGUAGAGACAGGGGUCUGUACCUCUAGUAGAUAUAGGACAUAUUCUCCCCAGGUAGAGACAGGGGUCUGUACCUCUAGUAGAUAUAGGACAUAUUCUCCCCAGGUAGAGACAGGGGUCUGUAUCUCUAGUAGAUAUAGGACAUAUUCUCCCCAGGUAGAGACAGGGGUCUGUAUCUCUAGUAGAUAUAGGACAUAUUCUCCCCAGGUAGAGACAGGGGUCUGUAUCUCUAGUAGAUAUAGGACAUAUUCUCCCCAGGUAGAGACAGGGGUCUGUACCUCUAGUAGAUAUAGGACAUAUUCUCCCCAGGUAGAGACAGGGGUCUGUAUCUCUAGUAGAUAUAGGACAUAUUCUCCCCAGGUAGAGACAGGGGUCUGUAUCUCUAGUAGAUAUAGGACAUAUUCUCCCCAGGUAGAGACAGGGGUCUGUACCUCUAGUAGAUAUAGGACAUAUUCUCCCCAGGUAGAGACAGGGGUAGUCUGAACUUUAACAGUUCUUACAUCUGAUCUACAGGAAGGCAGAAAAAAAUUAUCGUGCAGAUAAAAAAUAUAUAUAUAUAUGUUUUGUGACAUCUGGUGUUGUGCCAAAACUGAAUACUACUGUAACAGGUCCACUCUACACAACAUCCAUACUGUCGUCACGACGUCCAUUACAGAGAAUUACACAUUUAACAUCUCGUUGCUUUAAAGUAAUUAUAAAUCUAUAUAUGUUACAAUGUAAGAAGUCAAUAACAAAUAGAUCUCUGGAGUUUUGACGUGCAAGAAUACGUUUUUCAUAUUCAAGACUGAGCACAGAUUAGAAACGAUGUGUUUCGAGUCAGGGCCCAAUUACGGUACACUUAUGGAAUUGCCUCUGUGUGAGUGAUGGGAUUGAGUGUUGGGUCAAGUUCAUUAAAACAUUUGUUGUUGAGCCAGAAGAGUAAAAAAAGGAAUGUUUUAACAAAUGUAAUAAACUAAUGUAUUUAGCGAGACAUUGUUAAUGGGGUGAAACAAAACUGAUUUAAAUUUUGCUUGUGAUCAACACACACAUUGUAGACUAAUUGUCUGCGCAGGAAUGCCGAUUUCUGCUCACUGCAGAUUUGAUUUAAUUCCAACCAUAUGUUUUAAAUCUGACUGACUAUGAUGUCACUGUUCGCAUGAUUUCUUAUCUAAAAACACUGGUAGGUUCUAGUUUCAUAAAACCCUCUAUAGUGACCAUGGAGUAGGUUCUAGCUUCCUAAAACCCUCUAUAGUGACCAUGGAGUAGGUUCUAGCUUCCUAAAACCCUCUAUAGUGACCAUGGAGUAGGUUCUAGCUUCCUAAAACCCUCUAUAGUGACCAUGGAGUAGGUUCUAGCUUCCUAAAACCCUCUAUAGUGACCAUGGAGUAGGUUCUAGCUUCCUAAAACCCUCUAUAGUGACCAUGGAGUAGGUUCUAGCUUCCUAAAACCCUCUAUAGUGACCAUGGAGUAGGUUCUAGCUUCCUAAAACCCUCUAUAGUGACCAUGGAGUAGGUUCUAGCUUCCUAAAACCCUCUAUAGUGACCAUGGAGUAGGUUCUAGCUUCCUAAAACCCUCUAUAGUGACCAUGGAGUAGGUUCUAGCUUCUUAAACCCUCUAUAGUGACCAUGGAGUAGGUUCUAGCUUCUUAAACCCUCUAUAGUGACCAUGGAGUAGGUUCUAGCUUCCUAAAACCCUCUA